GACAGAGGGUGCAAACGUUGUUCGGAAUUACUGGGCGUAAAGCGCGUGUAGGCGGCUCGGAAAGUCGGAUGUGAAAGCCCUGGGCUUAACCUAGGAAGUGCAUUCGAAACUCUCGGGCUUGAGUUCUGGAGAGGAAGGCGGAAUUCUCGGUGUAGAGGUGAAAUUCGUAGAUAUCGAGAGGAACACCGGUGGCGAAGGCGGCCUUCUGGACAGUGACUGACGCUGAGACGGCGAAAAGCGUGGGGAGCCAAACAGG
rnacentral:rRNA from 1 species